rnacentral:rRNA from 1 species
UACGGAGGAGGCAAGCGUUAUCCGGAAUUAUUGGGCGUAAAGCGUCCGUAGGUGGCUAGUCAAGUCUGCGGUCAAAGACUGGGGCUUAACCCUGGAAAGGCCGUGGAAACUGACGAGCUAGAGUGCAGUAGGGGUAGAGGGAAUUCCCGGUGUAGCGGUGAAAUGCGUAGAUAUUGGGAAGAACACCGGUGGCGAAAGCGCUCUGCUGAGCCUGCACUGACACUGAGGGACGAAAGCUAGGGGAGCGAAAGGG